GCGAUACAACAUUGAGAUCUGUGUGAGACGAUGGUGUAUCUGAUCUAACAGAGUGAUACAAAAUUGAGAUCUGUGUGAGACGAUGGUGUAUCUGAUCUAACAGAGCUAUACAACAUUGAGAUCUGUGUGAGACGAUAUACACCAUCGUCUCACACAGAUCUCAAUGUUGUAUCGC
rnacentral:pre_miRNA from 1 species